CGAGGGGCAGCGGGGGCGUAGCAAUAUGCCUGCCGGCGACCGGCGCACGGGUGAGUAACACGUAUGUAACCUGCCCUAUGCAGGGGGAUAACCCGGAGAAAUCCGGCCUAAUACCGCGUAAUACCUUAGGGGAGCAUUCUCUUGAGGUUAAAGGAGAGAUCCGGCAUAGGAUGGACAUGCGUCGCAUUAGGUAGACGGCGGGGUAACGGCCCACCGUGCCGACGAUGCGUAGGGGUUCUGAGAGGAAGGCCCCCCACACUGGUACUGAGACACGGACCAGACUCCUACGGGAGGCAGCAGUGAGGAAUAUUGGUCAAUGGCCGAGAGGCCGAACCAGCCAAGUCGCGUGAGGGAAGAAUGUCCUAAGGAUUGUAAACCUCUUUUGUCGGGGAGCAAAAAGGCUCUGCGGAGUCGUAUUGAGAGUACCCGAAGAAAAAGCAUCGGCUAACUCCGUGCCAGCAGCCGCGGUAAUACGGAGGAUGCGAGCGUUAUCCGGAUUUAUUGGGUUUAAAGGGUGCGCAGGCGGCGUGUCAAGCAAGCGGUAAAAUAGCGGGGCUCAAC
rnacentral:rRNA from 1 species